UACAGAGGGUGCGAGCGUUAAUCGGAAUUACUGGGCGUAAAGCGCGCGUAGGCGGCUUUUCAAGUCGAUUGUGAAAUCCCCGGGCUUAACCUGGGAACUGCAGUCGAGACUGUCUAGCUAGAGUAUGGGAGAGGGAAGUGGAAUUUCAGGUGUAGCGGUGAAAUGACGUAGAUAUCAGGAGGAACACCGGUGGCGAAGGCGGGUCUCUAGUACGGUACUGACGCUGAGACGCGAAAGCGUGGGGAGCGAACAGG
rnacentral:rRNA from 1 species